UGUGUUAAGCAAGAUUUGUCAACCUUGCCAGCCAAGUCACUUACUGCAAAGGGUUACAAAGCAGUGUUUCGUUUCAAACUGUUACUGCUUUAGAUUCACUAAAAGCCUACUACUUCUACUCUGGUAAAUCACAUCAGCUUUAUCAGAUCUAAAUUGGAGCAGCUACAGACUAUAUUGCUCCCAGCACCCAGAACCACUCUGAGAGGUCCUUUAACAAAUGUUGCAGUAAUAAUGGUAUGGAAUAGCCCUCUUUCAAAUGGAGGGCUCAUCCAUACAGGGGUGCUGGGAGGCACCAAGUAAAAAAUAGCAACAAAAAAAUUUUUAAUAUAUUCAAUCAGUGAAGAUAUUAACUUUUUUAAUA